rnacentral:rRNA from 1 species
UACGUACGAGGCGAGCGUUAUCCGGAAUUAUUGGGCGUAAAGCGCGCGCAGGUGGACAUCUAAGUCAGACGUGAAAUCUCCCGGCCUAACUGGGAGGGGUCGUUUGAGACUGGGUGACUUGAGGACUGCAGAGGUGGGUGGAAUUCCUGGUGUAGUGGUGAAAUGCGUAGAGAUCAGGAGGAACACCGGUGGCGAAGGCGGCCCACUGGGCAGUCACUGACGCUGAGGCGCGAAAGCUCGGGGAGCGAACGGG